rnacentral:rRNA from 1 species
GAUGAACGCUGGCGGCGUGCCUAAUACAUGCCAGUCGAGCGAACAGACGAGGAGCUUGCUCCUCUGACGUUAGCGGCGGACGGGUGAGUAACACGUGGAUAACCUACCUAUAAGACUGGGAUAACUUCGGGAAACCGGAGCUAAUACCGGAUAAUAUAUUGAACCGCAUGGUUCAAUAGUGAAAGACGGUUUUGCUGUCACUUAUAGAUGGAUCCGCGCCGCAUUAGCUAGUUGGUAAGGUAACGGCUUACCAAGGCAACGAUGCGUAGCCGACCUGAGAGGGUGAUCGGCCACACGGGAACUGAGACACGGUCCUGACUCCUACGGGAGGCAGCAGUAGGGAAUCUUCCGCAAUGGGCGAAAGCCUGACGGAGCAACGCCGCGUGAGUGAUGAAGGUCUUCGGAUCGUAAAACUCUGUUAUUAGGGAAGAACAAAUGUGUAAGUAACUAUGCACGUCUUGACGGUACCUAAUCAGAAAGCCACGGCUAACUACGUG